CCUACGGGCGGCAGCAGUGGGGGAUAUUGGGCAAUGGAGGCAACUCUUACCCAGCAAUGCCGCGUGAAUGAAGAAGGUCUUCGGAUUGUAAAGUUCGUUAAUUGGGGACGAAAAAAAUGACGGUACCCAAGGAAUAAGCCCCGGCUAACUACGUGCGAGCAGCCGCGGUAAUACGUAGGGGGCAAGCGGUGUUCGGGAUGACUGGGCGUAAAGGGUGUGUAGGCGGUGUAGCAAGUUAGAGGUGAAAUACCUAGAGCUUAACUCAGGUGCUGCUUCUAAAACUGCUAUACUUGAGUGCAGUAGAGGAGAGUGGGAAUCCUAGUGUAGCGGUGGAAUGCGUAGAUAUUAGGAGGGACAUCAGUGGCGAAGGCGACUUUCUGGACUGUAACUGACGCUGCGGCACGAAAGUGUGGGGAGCAAACCGGAUUAGAUACCCUAGUAGUC
rnacentral:rRNA from 1 species